GGUAGAUAGAAUUGAAUUUAGCAAGGAACCAGAACUUGUGCCUUCAGCAUCAGGGCGUGAGUGAAGUUGCAGCUUGCCCUCCAUCUCUUCUCCAUCUCUCAUGUCCUCUCCCUCCUGGAGUCAGUAACUCUUCUUGCCUGUUUGCUUGAUGACAGCCCCUGGAUGCCAGCUAUUGUACUGAACUACUGCACUCCUCAAGAACAUAAUUAUAGAAGAUGAGAAUCUGCUCAGUUUUAACUCUGUCCUACACAGUGUUUAAAUAACCUUGGAUGGGAAAAGCUUGUCUAAACAUGAAUCUAUGAAAGCAACCAUGAAAGAAACGGACAGUUUCAAGGAAGGAAAAUAAAAACAAACACACAAAUUCACAAAGAAGUAUUCUGUAAAAAAACCACAAUAAGCAAGCUUGAUGGUAGAAAAAAAUAUGACCAACUCUCUGAAGGAUGUUUUAACUGCUUAGAUCACAAAAGCUUGGAGUUUUUCAUAUUUUUUGACAGAUUCCAAGUGAAUCAUUCUAGGGAAAUGGACAAUGUAAAGGUACAUAUGACAGACUGUUAACAGCAAAUCUUCAGUGAAAACAAAAAAAGGAUGAGAUGAUGGACAAAGCUGUAAUGGAAAAUGAAAUAACCAUCAAAAGGAUGUUAUAGAGAAAUAUUACAUAUGUACAAGAAUUGAUGCUUUUGAACUGUGGUGUUGGAGAAGACCCUUGAGAAUUCUUUGGACUGAAGGGAGACCAAACUAGUCAAUCCUAAAGGAAAUCAACCUUGAAUAUUCACUGGAAGGACUGAUGUUUAAGCUGAAGCUUCAAUACUUUUGCCACCUGAUGUGAAGAGCCAACUCAUUGGCAAAGACUCUGAUGGUGGGGAAGAUUGAAAGCAAAAGGAGAAGGGGUGGCAGAGAAUGAGGUGGUUAGAUAGCAUCACUGACUCAAUGCACAUGGAUUUGAGCAAGCUCCAGGAGAUAGUGAAGACACAGGAGUCUGACGUGCUGCAGUCCAUGAGGUUGCCAAGAGUCAGACAUGACUUAGCGACUGCACAACAACAACAAAAUUUACCUCCACAUUGUGGGAUAAUAUGUAUUAUUUUUCUUUUGACUUACCUGUGUUUCCUGAAUAUUUAACAACAAACAUGUUUUUUUUGAAAUUAAACAAUGUGAAAUAACUGUAUUGUUUUUUUCACAAGUAGUUAUA